CCUACGGGAGGCAGCAGUGGGGAAUAUUGCGCAAUGGGCGAAAGCCUGACGCAGCGACGCCGCGUGAGGGAUGACGGCCUUCGGGUUGUAAACCUCUUUCAGCAGGGAAGAAGCGAAAGUGACGGUACCUGCAGAAGAAGCACCGGCUAACUACGUGCCAGCAGCCGCGGUAAUACGUAGGGUGCGAGCGUUGUCCGGAAUUAUUGGGCGUAAAGAGCUCGUAGGCGGCCUGUCGCGUCGGAUGUGAAAAACCUCGGGGCUUAACCCCGAGCCUGCAUUCGAUACGGGCAGGCUAGAGUUCGGCAGGGGAGACUGGAAUUCCUGGUGUAGCGGUGAAAUGCGCAGAUAUCAGGAGGAACACCGGUGGCGAAGGCGGGUCUCUGGGCCGAAUACUGACGCUGAGGAGCGAAAGCGUGGGGAGCGAACAGGAUUAGAUACCCUGGUAGUCCACGCCGUAAACGUUGGGAACUAGGUGUGGGCGACAUUCCACGUCGUCCGUGCCGCAGCUAACGCAUUAAGUUCCCCGCCUGGGGAGUAGGCCGCAAGGCUAAAAACNCAAANANAAUAGAGCGNGAGAGNGCGACGACGACACGAGGAGAG
rnacentral:rRNA from 1 species